GCAGAUUUCUUGUCUCUAUCGGUCUCUUGCACGCCACCUGGUGGUGUUAUUGUAAUCGCAGCUAAUUUGACCAAAGAUUAGUUGGACAAGUUGGUUCAGCUUGUGAAUUUGGAACUCAGGAUAACACACACCGGAGGUGGUGUGCCGGAAGAGCUGUUAAAGCAGAUGUUUGGAAACAGUGUGGAUACAACUGAAGAAGGAAUAAGAUUUGUGGUUAGCAUAAAUCUAUUAAAGCUCAUGAGUGGAGAUGUGCAAUAUCUGAGGGAAGCCACAAAGUCUGCAUUCAUAAUUUCUGUUGAACUUGCCUCUCCUGGUACAAAAAAGCCUUGAACAGGCUUUUAUUUUGUUGUUGUUUCAAGAAAUCAACUUUUACAUGCUUGAGUGUGUCUUGUGUUAAUGUGCACGUGUAAUAAUUGUUUUGUAGCCUUUUUGGGAAUAAAAUUGUUUUAAGUUAAAAACCAUA